rnacentral:rRNA from 1 species
CAUGCAAGUCGAACGCAGUAGCAAUACUGAGUGGCAGACGGGUGAGUAUAAUGUGGGAAUCUGCCUUUUGGUUCGGAAUAACACGAGGAAACUUGUGCUAAUACCGGAUAAGCCUUCACAGGGAAAGUUUUAAUGCCAAAAGAUGAGCCCGCACUUGAUUAGCUAGUUGGUAAGGUAAUAGCUUACCAAGGCAACGAUCAAUAGCUGUUCUUAGAGGAAGACCAGCCACAUUGGGACUGAGACACGGCCCAAACUCCUACGGGAGGCAGCAGUGGGGAAUCUUGCACAAUGGGGGAAACCCUGAUGCAGCGAUGCCGCGUGAGUGAAGAAGGCCUUUGGGUUGUAAAACUCUUUCGUCGGGGAAGAAAAUGACUGUACCCGAAUAAGAAGGUCCGGCUAACUCCGUGCCAGCAGCCGCGGUAAUACGGAGGGUGCGAGCGUUAAUCGGAAUUACUGGGCGUAAAGCGUACGCAGGCGGUUUGUUAAGCGAGAUGUGAAAGCCCCGGGCUCAACCUGGGAACUGCAUUUCGAACUGGCAAACUAGAGUGUGAUAGAGGGUGGUAGAAUUUCAGGUGUAGCGGUGAAAUGCGUAGAGAUCUGAAGGAAUACCGAUGGCGAAGGCAGCCACCUG